CUCCAGCCCCACCCCGAGCUCCCCCGAGAGCGCUGUCCAAACGCUGCUGCAGCUCUGGCAGCCUUGGGGCCGGGACCAUUCCCUGGGGAGCCUGGGCAGUGCCAGCACCCUCGGGGGGAAGAACCUUUCCCUGAGCUCCGUGCCAGCCCUGACACAGCUCCAGCCCUUGCUGGGCUCCUGGCCCUGGCCCAGAGCAGAGCUCAGCCCCUGCCCCUCUGCCUCCCCUCGGCAGGAGCUGCAGCCCCCGAGGAGUCUCCCCUCAGUCUCCUCUGCUGCAGCUGAACGAGCCCAGUGCCCUCAGCUGCUCCUCAGCCCUUCCCCAGCUCCGGGUCCCUCCUUCGGACACUCUCCAACAGCUUUGGCUCCUUCUGACCUUGUGGUGCCCAAGGUGCCUCCAUAACUCCAGAUGAUUCCGUCCAACAGAUCCUGGACUCAGGCCAUGAGGAACUUCCCUGCAGGCAUCCCCACUUUCUCCGUUGUCUCAGGAGACCUAUGGGAUCUGCCUGGCCACCGCACAUUCGGAAAUCCAACAAGCUUUGGGAGAGUGGGCACCACUUUUGGGGUGCUAUCCAGGCCCUUGGCAUUACUCCCAUAUGUGUGGAAAUAUGAUACUGGAGGUUUAUGCCCCAAAAGGAGACAAAGGAGUCCUGUAACUUUAUUCAUGAACAAAGGGAGAGGCCAUGGGGCAUUUCCCAUGGUGUCUCUCAAACUGUUGAGGGACGCAGCCUCCUUUUUAUCCUAGUUUUCAUGGCCACAUCACCCUCUCCCUUUCUUCACUGGUUCAGGUACUUGGAAGGUACAAACUUCCUGAAUUGCCUACAUUAUGUCCCCCUCUAAUAUGCAUCCCCCCUUUGUUUAGCAUAUGACGCUCAUAGUUCUAUUGUCUUUGUUCUCCUCCAAGUUCAGGAACUUAGCAGGACCUUGUCUGAGCAGCAGUCCAUGUGAAUGAGCAACGCUGUCUGAAACGGAUGGUUUCUCCUGUUACUUCCUUAUCUACAAAUCCCUGUCCCUAUCUACAAGCAGAUUCACACAGUCUGUUUGUAAAGACACAUUCAUGUUAUUCCUUUCACUGGGCACCAUCAGGGCACUGUCACUGCCUGUCUGUGGUUGGGCCUUUUGUCACUCUGGUGCUAGUCCGUGCCCAAGCUGAACCCGUUUUCCUUGUUUCUGGAGUGCCAGUCCUCGCAGCAGCUGAGCCUAGUGACCCUUUUCCAGCCCAGCCUGGAGGCAGGAAGGCAGUAUGGUGGGAUGAGGAUGGUGGUGAGGAUGGGGAUGGUGGAAUGGUGUGGUUUGGUGAGAGUUGGUGAUGGUGAUGGCAGAGAUGGGGAUGGCGAUGGCAGAGCUGUGCAGAACGGUGCAGAGAGGCGGGGAUGGGGAUGGGGAUGGGGAUGGGGAUGGGGAUGGGGAUGGGGAUGGGAAUGGUGGUGCUGUGGGGAAGGGGAUGGAGGGGGGGGGGGGGGGGGGGGGGGGGGGGGGGGGGGGGGGGGGGGGGGGGGGGGGGGGGGGGGGGGGGGGGGGGGGGGGGGGGGGGGGGGGGGG
rnacentral:lncRNA from 1 species